UACAGAGGGGGCAAGCGUUGUUCGGAAUUACUGGGCGUAAAGGGCGCGUAGGCGGCCUUCUAAGUCGAACGUGAAAUCCCCGGGCUCAACCCGGGAACUGCGUCCGAUACUGGAAGGCUUGAAUCCGGGAGAGGGAUGUGGAAUUCCAGGUGUAGCGGUGAAAUGCGUAGAUAUCAGGAGGAAUACCGGUGGCGAAAGCGACUCUCUGGACGGCAACUGACGCUGAGGCACGAAAGCGUGGGGAGCAAACAGG
rnacentral:rRNA from 1 species